AUCAGACAUUUUUAUGGUAGGUAGUAUGGUCAUUAAUCAACAGAUCCAGGUGUGAAUGGUAAUAUACUUUUCCUUUCCUCUUAAUCCGUGCUACUAGAAUUACGAUUCACUGAUUUCAGAAUUAGGUUACCUGUAAUUUUAACCACUCAGUCACUUUAUUGAUUAUAUAAGUUCUACAUCGUAUUGACAUAAAAUAUUUUUACAGGUGAAGUACUGGAGAACACUUUGUUUUAAUAAAAAUAGCGCAUUUUUUUAUUGAUGGUUUUUAUAUUGCAACUGC
rnacentral:lncRNA from 1 species